rnacentral:ncRNA from 1 species
CGGUGCCGGGGAAGCCGUUCGAGCAGCGUCGUGUCGCGGUCCGGGACUGUCCUCAGUCCCGGGUCGUCUCGGCGCGGUUCCGAGCGGUCGCUCCCUCGCGAGGUGCCGCGGGUCAGCGGCUGACGCCAGCCACCUUCCCGACCCGUCUUGAAACACGGACCAAGGAGUCUAACAUGUGCGCGAGCCGCGGGGCAGUACGAAACCCGUAAGGCGAAAUGAAGGUGAACGCCGGCGCGGUCCGGCGGAGGUUGGAUCCCGUCCCGUCGGGGCGGGCGCACUACCGGCCGAUCUUCUCCGCCCUGUCGGCGAGGUCGAGCGAGAGCGUGCAAGUCGGGACCCGAAAGAUGGUGAACUAUGCCUGAGGAGGUUGAAGCCAGAGGAAACUCUGGUGGAGGACCGUAGCGAUUCUGACGUGCAAAUCGAUCGUCAAAUUUGGGUAUAGGGGCGAAAGACUAAUCGAACCGUCUAGUAGCUGGUUCCCUUCGAAGUUUCCCUCAGGAUAGCUGGCGCUCUGUCGCAGUUUUAUCUGGUAAAGCGAAUGAUUAGAGGUCUUGGGGGCGAAACGCCCUCAACCUAUUCUCAAACUUUAAAUUGGUAAGAAGAAGCCCGACUCGCUCGUUUGGAGCCGGGCAUGGAAUGCGAGUGCCAAGUGGGCCACUCUUGGUAAGCAGGACUGGCGAUGCGGGAUGAACCGAACGCCGGGUUAAGGCGCCCGACGCGACGCUCAUCAGAGCCCACAAAGG